UAGCUGUCAAACAGUUGCCAAUUUUUUAUCAAUAAUAUAUUUUUAUUACUCGAAUAAUAUUUUAUAUUUAUUUAUUAAAAGCAUGGUCUUAUCACACAAACCAAUUUUUAAAUUAAUAGGAAUUAAUUACCUGAUUUAUUCCUCAAUUUGUGCCAAGAUUACCAGAAGGGCUCUCAAGCAAAAAUUUUUAAAAGAAGCAUACAGAAGAGAUGUCAGCGUUAUCACCAUUUUCCAUGUAGUAAAUGGUAGAAAGGGAAAAGAGUUUGAGCCACUGCAGCCAAAAGUCGAGGAAGAAAUCAGCUUGGUUAAGAAGACUGUGGUUAAAAGUGCCACCUAAUGAACUCGAUUUAAUAUCAACUGAACAUUAAAUUUAAUAAACAUUUUGAUAUCUACCA